AUUGAACGCUGGCGGCAUGCCUUACACAUGCAAGUCGAACGGUAACACGCCGCACGGUGCUGACGAGCGGCGAACGGGUGCGUAAUGCAUCCGAACGUGCCACGUCGCUGUGAGUCACUACUCGCUAGAGUAGCUCGUACCGCAUACGAUCUAUGAUUUUAAGCGGGGGAGCGUAAGACCUCGAGAGAUUGUUGCUGUCGCUGUCAGAUUAGGUAGUUGGUCGGGUAAAGGCUCACCAAGUCAACGAUCUGUAGGGGGUCUGAGAGGACGACCCGCCACACUGGAACUGAGACACGGCCCAGACUCCUACGGGAGGCAGCAGUAGGGAAUUUUGGACAAUGGGCGCAAGCCUGACCCAGCAAUGCCGCGUGCAGGAAGAAGGUCUUCGGAUUGUAAACUGCUGUUGUACGGAAAGAACAGGUGUGGGAGUAUACCCGGAGGUAAUGACGGUACCUAAACAAAAAGCACCGGCUAACUACGUG
rnacentral:rRNA from 1 species